AUGGUUCCCAGUCGGAUCUGUUUCCACUGCACCGCGAUGGGAACUCUGACAUCCCUAUUUUUGGCUGCUCACCAGCUGCCCUUGCUGCCUCCUGUGGACCCCCCUCUACCCCCAGCCAGCUACAGCAGUUUACAGCUCCUGAAACCUGUGUGAACACUUGCUUCCUUGAGGACUCUCUUGGAAGCCACCCCCAAAAGUGAGAUACCCAGAAACACCCCCCACCCCCCCCGGUGAACCGCCAGACACGGGAGCCUCUCACCUUCUCGGCGUUGGAGCGGAUGCAGCGGAUGAAGAAGGGCUCUGCCUUGCCCAGCGCCUCCAGGAGCUUAUUAAGGGAUGUCUGCGAAGAGAGGGGGAAGGUACUGAGUUGGGGCUCCUAGGUCAUCCGCCUGCAUCAGUGGGAGCAUCUGUGCUGAUGUGGACAUGAGAGGGAGGAGCUAGCGGGAAGAGGAAGGAACCAAAGAAGCCAGAGAAAUUAGAAACACGCCCCCCACCCCGGGUUUUCCAGAAAAAUGACUUGAGCCAGGCGCUCGCAAGGCGAUGUGAGACGGUGUCGCGCGUGUUUACCUUUGGAAUGAUCUGCUUUUGUUUGAUACCUUUACUUUUCCUGUCAAAAUAUUAAAAAUGGUUUUGUGAACAGAAGGAA